GAAAGAAAGAAGGAAAGAAAAAAAGAAAGCGAGAAAGAAGAAAAACAAGAAAACAAUACGAUGGAUCUAUUCAACAUUUGCGUGUUUGCUUUUUCGUUCCUUUGACCUUUUUCU
rnacentral:ribozyme from 1 species